GAAAUUAAUUAUUACGAUUUAUAAUGAUUACAUACAAAAUACACCAGGCGCUGCCACGCCUUAUAUUCGAUAAGAGAUAUCUUUUUCAAGUUCAACUAUCCCAAAUAGUAUCUCAUAAUUCUAAUUUCUUUUUUUUAUGUACCAACAAAAAAUAUCUUAUAAUAAUAAUAAUGCGUUUUAGGCCGCCACUUGUUGUGCCAGAGACGUUGAAACCAAGGAAAGUAUUUGUGGUGCAACUAAAUUCCAAAACUAUAUUUAUGGGUUUAUUUGUCUUAGUUCUUUUUUUUUUUUG
rnacentral:lncRNA from 1 species